GCGGGAUCAGCCCCAGGCAGAGCGCGAAGAAUCGAAGCGGCUUUGCUGGCGGGCUGCAGGACAGCGGGGUCGAGCAGCGCCAUGGCGGCGGCAGCGCCUGAGCUUUGCUUAGGUGUAGAGGAGCUAACACCUGACUUGCAGAAAGCUUAUGACGAUGAUUCUGACAGCGGACAGGGCAGCUGUGAAACAAGUUCUCCAGGACAUUCCAACAAGGAAGUUGCGUCUCUUGAUGACAGAGAUUCAGAGGAAGAGAUUUUUGUAAGUAAAAAAUCUAAAAGCAAAAAGGUGCUUCAGGACAGUGAGAGUGAAGGGGAAGAGAGAGGCUGCUCCCUUGAGAAGGCAGACACUGUAGCUGAAGAUGUCAAGAGCGGGGAGGAAAAGGAGCAUCUUAUUGCCCGAAAGAACAAAAAACAUCGGAUUCGCCAGGCUCUGCUGGACAGUGACGAGAGUGAUAUUGGUGACACAUUAGAUCACAAAAACCUUGAAAUAGAUGAGAAGUCUGAUGCGACUCAGAACGAGCUGGAUUUGGGUUCACAGGUGGCAAUUUUGCCAACCUCUCUGAAACGAUACAAAAAACACAAAAGUAAUUUUGAGGAUGAAACGGGCAAAAAAGCAAUGGGGAAGUCGAGGAGGAGGAGGAUGGAAAAAGAAAAAAAAAUGGAGGCUAUUAGAGAACUGAAGAAAGAAAAGAAACGGAAACAAAAGCAGGAAGAUAAUGGUGAGAGAAAUUCUAUUAAUGAUAGUGGGUGUUUUCUUGCUGACAAAGAACUCUUUGAUAACGAUUUAGAGGAAGAAAAUGAUUCCCAUCUCGAAGAUGAAGAGUCACUAGAAUCAAUAAGAGCUGCAGUGAAAGACAAAGUGAAAAAACAUAAGGGUAAGAAUUUGUUUUCUGAAGACCAAAAUUACAAACAUGUAUUUGAUGAUGAGAAUGAGGAACCCACAUUGAAAAGAGCUAAGAGGAAGGAGAGGAAGGCAGCAAGGUUAAGUAAAGAAGCCAUGAAACAACUGCAUAGUGAGACCCAGAGACUUGUAAGAGAAUCAUGUCUGUCGCUCCCAUAUCAUGUGCCGGAAACCAAAACCAUACAUGAGUUCUUCAAGCGUAGACCUAGACCAGCUUGUCAGGGAAAUGCAAUGGCAUUGCUGAAGUCUACUAAGUAUCAGCCCUGCCUAAAUGAAGAAAGUGCAGACACUGAGAACUCAAGUGUGAAUAUCAAAGACACUCGGACAGAGGCUGGUCAAGCAACAACAGCUAGGGAGCUGGAAACAGAACUUGAUGAGAAUAUUGACACCUUUGCGGAUAAACCCUCCACAUAUGUGGAGGAGAAUCUGAGAGUAGAUUGUGAUGAAAAGCACAGACAGGAUGGUGCCUUGGAUACUCUUGAGAGCCUAACAACUGCUGGUAAUUCAGAAGAGCAGGUUUCUGACUUCCGGAGCAGUCAAUGUGGGGAGCAAAUGGAGAGUGAACUUCCCUUGGGAUCUGAAGCAAGUGCCCUUGAACAAAGAGAGGACCAGCUGCAAAAUACAGGUGUAGAAUGUGACAAGCCUGUUCAACAGAUGGCUUCAGUGGUGAUGGCACAGCCUGAAAAAGUAAGGAAGUCCAAGCUGGAUAAACUUCGGGAGCUGGGAGUCGACCUAUCUGUCAAACCAAGACUCUGUUCUGACAAGGAUUCCUUUAUUAACCUUGAUGAGCCUGAAUCAAACAAAGAACUGGAAGCUUUGAAGGCACGUUUCUUGAAGCACACUCUUCAGACAGCCAAGCCAAAAACCGAGCGGAUUGUAAACUUGAACAUUAUUCGUAAAGAGACCACUUCUGAGGGAAAAGAGGAGCUAAAAUCAGAUGUGGUGCCAGUGACAUUGGCUGCAGAAAAUGUAGAUGAAACAGCCUACACAAAGCCAGGUGAAAAGCUACAAGUGCUGAAGGCUAAACUACAGGAGGCCAUGAAACUCCGCAGGAUUGAGGAACGCCAGAAGCGGCAAGCACUGUUUAAACUGGAUAAUGAGGACAUGGAGGAGGAGGACGAGGAGGAGGAGGAGAUGACAGAUGAGUCGGAGGAGGAGGAAGGCAACCAAGAGACUGUGGACUUUCUUCUCGGUGAGGCAGAGGAAGAAAAUGAGUUGGAAGAGAAGGGUACUGAUGAUGGUGAUAAAGAAACUGACAAAGAAUCAGUUGAUGAAGAACAGGUGGAGAAGUCUGUGCAUUGUGAUUCUGUCUCCAAACCUCCUUCAACAGAAUCCACACUGAUCCUGUUCAAGGACAACUCCUCCAAACUGGGAUAUUCCCUUCCUGAUGAAAAAACUGAGAUGGAGGGAGCUCCAGACAAAAGGCCUAGCAAAUUAGAAGAUGACGAUUCAUUUUCUCUGCCAACUUUGGCAAAAGAAAACAGCCACAACAGCAGCUUCGAGUUGAUUGGCUCUAUGAUUCCAUCGUACCAGCCUUGCAACAAACUCGCACGUGGAGGAAACUUUCUGCCUGCAGCAGGAGGUUUUAGGUCACCAUCUCCGGGUUUUUUCAAAGCUAGCUUUAUCAGCUCUGCUUCCAAGAGUUCUGGAAAGAUAUCUGAGCCCUCCCUGCCCAUAGAGGAUUCCCAGGAUCUGUAUAAUGCUUCCCCUGAGCCCAAGAGUUUAUUUCCAGGAGCUGGAGAGUCUCAGUUUCAGUUUUCUCUGGAAGAUGAUACUCAGAGUCAAUUGCUUGAUGCAGAUGGGUUUCUGAAUGUUGGGCACCACAGGAAUAAAUACCAGUCCUCAAAGCAUCGUCUGACUCUGGCUAGCAUGGAUGAAAAUGCAAUGGAUGCCAACAUGGAUGAAUUAUUGGAUUUGUGUUCUGGACAGUUCAGCAGCCAUGGAGAGCGCACUCCAAAUUCUAGCAGUGGGAAAAAGCAGAACAUGGAAGAACUGCUCAAUCUGUGUUCUGGAAAAUUUGUCUCUCAGACGGCUUCUCCGACAUGGGCAUCUUCCGUGUCCUCUAAGCCAGAGAAAGAGAGUGACGCAGAAGAUCCAAUGGCAGAAGCACUAGCACUUUGUUCGGGAUCCUUCCCAACAGACAGGGAAGGGGAAGAUGAAGAGGAGCAGGAGGAAGAAUUUGGCGAUUUUCAGCUCUUAACGGAUGACAAUGCAUUUGAGAAUGAAGAGGAUGAAAAAAGUGAAGGAGAUGAGAGAAGUGAAGAUUGUGAUAAUGAGGAAGCAGAAGUUAGUGAUGAUGAUGAAGAAGAACUGUUAAGACAAAGGCAGGGCUUGAAGAAAAAAUUAAAACUGCAGGAUUUCAUGGAAGAUGAGGCAGAGCUAUCAGGGAGUGACGUAGGAAGUGAGAGUGAAUAUGAUGGUGAAGAGCUGGAUGAAUAUGAAGAGGAGAUUAUUGAUGAAGAACUCCCUACUGAUAUGGAGCUAGAGAAUCAAAUAAAAAAAAUACACAUGAAGGCAAUGCUUGAUGAUGACAAACGUCAGUUACGCUUGUACCAGGAAAGAUACCUUGCUGAUGGAGACCUGCACAGUGAUGGCCCUGGACGAAUGAGAAAAUUCAGGUGGAAGAACAUAGAUGAUGCUUCCCAAUUGGAUAUGUUUCAUGGAGACUCUGAUAAUGAUGAGGAAAAUGAAGAACAACUUGAUGAGACAGAGGCAAAGUGGAGGAAAGAGCGGUUUGAACGAGAGCAGUGGUUACGUGAACAGUUAGAGAAAGGAGACAAGAAGGAAGAGAAGGAGGAGGAGGAAGAAAUAGGUGAAGAUAGUCAAUUCAUGAAACUAGCAAAAAAAGUGACUGCUAAGUCUCUGCAAAAGAAAGCUAAACCUGUAGCAGCUGUAAAAGAAGCAAAAUCCUUGCCAAGAAAUCCUUUUGAAACAUUCAAACCUGCCAGUGACAUGAUGGUAAAGAGUGGAUCACUUCUGAACAGACCUAAGUCUGUUCUUCAGAAGCUAGCAGCCAUGUCAGACCUUAAUCCAAAUGCUCCCCGAAAUUCAAGAAAUUUUGUCUUCCACACCCUUUCUCCAGCUAAGAAUGAAGAAGCACAGGAGAAAUCGAAACUGCAGGUGAAAAAGAGGGGUCCUUCUGCAAUAGUGACACCCUCUCCCAAACGGCUGAAGACAGAUGGUGCUGCAACAAAAGGGAGCCAGAGUCGAAGCAUAUUCCAAUACUUGGAGAACUGAAUAAUUCUCUCUCUGGGGCCAGGAAUUGUAACUUGUCCUUUUGUCAGCCAGCUUUGCCUGUGGACUUUUUUUGGAUAAAGCUGAAGCUUUCCAUCACAAUUCAGCUGUUGUAGAGGUGAAUCAUCUAUCCUUUUACAGAUAAUAACAUAGGGCCUUCUUUAGAAUGAAGAAACUAGGUGCUAUACUCCAGAAGAAUGAUUAUUUACAACCCUUUUGCAGUAAGAACAGAACUUGAAAAACAGGUAAAACAUGUAUCUACUUGCAUUUUGAAUGUGUGACGCUAAAGAUGACUUCAUUGUAAUGUUCAGGCUAGUUCUUACAGACUGAACAUUUUCCUGAGACUUGAUUUCAAAUGUUCUAGAUGCUGACUUGACCCCAAGUUGUACAUUUUGUAAUUUCAUAAGCACACUUUUGUGCGUGGCUGAAUGUAAAAUAUUUUAAUGUAUAUUGUGUUUAUAAAGGACUGUGAUACUAAUAGGUGUGCAAUUUUUACAAUAAAACGAGCUUUUAAUUUUC